rnacentral:lncRNA from 1 species
AUUCCGUGGGCGUAGGAGCCUCCAAGCCAGGUGUGGGAUAUAAUCUCGUGGUUCGCCCUUUUUUGAGGGGUCUGAAAAGCGCAGUAUUUAGGGUGGGAGUGACCCGAUUUUCCAGGUGCCGUCUGUCACGCCUUUCUUUGACUUGGAAAGGGAACUCCCUGACCCCUUGCGCUUCCCAAGUGAGGCAAUGCCUCGCCCUGCUUGGGCUCGCGCAGGGUGCACGCACCCACUGGCCUGCGCCCACUGUCUGGCACUCCCUAGUGAGAUGAACCCGGUACCUCAGAUGGAAAUGCAGAAAUCACCGGUCUUUUGCAUCGCUCACGCUGGGAGCUGUAGACCGGAGCUUUUCCUGUUCGGCCAUCUUGGCUCCUCUAUCGGUGUUGUACUUCUUUAAAGGGAUUAUUGUGGAUUCCUGAGAAUUUUCUACAUAUGAAAUCAUGUCAUCUAUGAACAGAGAUGGGACUGUCUCGUUGGAGGAAAACAAGCUCAGGGCUCCCACUGAUUCCACAUUAUGUUGCAAGCUCCUACGAAGCUCCCACUCAAAAAGAAAAAAAAAACAAAACCUGAAAUCUGAAAUAGAAAUUAUCAGCCCGAGAAUGAGAUGUCCCUAAUGCAUAAAGAGUUCUGCUAAGGAAAUGAAGCAUGUUCUUCAAGCAAGAAAGAAACUCUUUUCUGGAUUACAGUUAUUCUGACAGCCACAGGCCUCACAGAACUAGCAUAGCCAAGAUUUACACUUCAAAGGUAAUAUAUGAAGCAGUAAUAUGUCACCUGAUGAUAAUGCAUAUUCCUUUGUGUACUUGAUCUUAGUGAUAUUAAAUCCUUUUUUAUAUACACAUGCAAAUAAACUAUGCCAUGGUUAAAUUUUGCUGUAAAAUGUCCAAUUGUUCAAGUGAUUAGGAAAAGGUUAUAAUUUCUUAAGACCAUAUCAACACAUUAACUCAUUUUUUUCCUAGGAAUAGAAUAAAAAAAUACAUGACUAU